CCCCUCUCAGGGUCGCACCUGGAGAGUUUCAAGUACUCUACCAUGCUCAACUAAGGGAGGGAAAAUCAAGCAGUGGCUACCCAUUCCAUUCCUAGCUUGGCCAGUGGCUAGCGAGUGGAAGGCAAUUUGCUACAAGC